rnacentral:lncRNA from 1 species
GUUCGGUCCGGUUUUGGACCAAAAUAAACAACCAAACCGAUUUUAUUUUUUUUUAGUUUUGGAACCGAACCGAACCGAAAACCGGUUCAAACCGAUUAAUUUCGGUUCGGUUCGGUUCGGUUUUUUCCCCUUCCAAACCGGCUCAAACCGAAACAGUGCCAAAAAUUCUUGUUCAUUUGUCCAAGGAAAACUUCGAGCCUGGCUCUAGUUCCUGGCUGGCGGAAAUGAAAGAUUCUGGUAAGAUCUGCAUAUUAUUAUAUUAUGAUUAAAUAUUUCUCUUUUUCCUUUUCCUUUGGGAAAGAGUUGCUCUUUCUGUUUUAGGUGCAACCAGUGACGGGCCUUAGCAAUAAGAUUAGGAAUGAAUUGCACCACCUAUCCAUCAUCGUCCCAGUUUUGUUACUCAAGAUCACGAUUGUCGGGGCACCCUUCUUUAAGACCCAGGAGCGGACCAAAAACAACCUAUCUUGCUGCUCCGAGUGCCUACCCCAUAGCUGAUUUCUUUUUUUUAUGCUGAUAUUUUUUGGGAGAGACAAACCGAUCAUCUGAAUCCUUGCAUAUAGCUGUAUCCUCUAUGCUAACAUUAAUGUGAGAGAUGAGAGAUGAGAGGCGAGAGGCGAGAGAUGAGAGAAGAAGGCUGAUUUGAGAGACAAGAGAGUAGGUACAAGGGGCGGCUGAGAAAGUGAGAAUGGUGAGAUAAGUUUAGGGUUAGAAAAGAUGUUAUUUAUACUUGUUUUUUUCAAGAGAUAGUAGUUGAACCGGGCCGGUUCGGUUCGGUUCAAUCGGUUUCAAACUUUG